rnacentral:lncRNA from 1 species
GGGCAAGUAUUAUACGAUGGUACCAUAGUAAAGGUUUUAGCCAGCCAGGUACUGCUGGAGAAGAAUAGAUGAAGAGAACUACCCAAUGCAUGGGAUAUCUAAGUUAGUUUAGAGGAAUCACGCUUGGACAUUCAGAAAGAAACAUUGACUCUAUACCAUUGUUAACUCUGAAUCUCUCUGUGAGAAAUUACUAUUCCCCUUGGUCUCCCAUUGCCCAUGAGAAUUCAGUGCCAACUCCUUAGCCUAACUUCCAAAAUCCAUUAUCCCUCUGCUGUUCACUUAGUAUUAAUUCUUAAAUCUACAAUCGAUCUGUCAUUUCAGUUAAUCAUGACUACUAUUUAGACAGCCUACUUUUAUUUCAGUUUCCAAUUUUCAACUCCCUUGUUCUUCCUUCCCAGAAUUCUGUUUUCCUAUUCAGUAGAGAAACAUUUAUCAGCCACAAACUUCAAAUGAGUCCUUACUUUUCUGAUAGGACUUCUCAGUCAGUUUCAACCAAAGAUGACCUCCCUUCAUAAGAUACAUGGUGAGCACUGCCUCACUGUAUAAAAACUAAGUAUAUUAAGUUUCUAUCUCUGCUUAAUGAAUUUCUGUCUAUAUUCUGCUUUAUUUAUUUAUUUUUCUCCAAUCCACUGCUAAAAUUUCAAAGAGUGAAGGACAUACAUUUAAAUUCCCCCCAGUAAGUUGUUACCAGUAUUAUACAAAAUUAAAAUACUUAAUAAAUAUGGAAAUGCACUUCCUCCCUGUAUAUAUGCAUUUAGUCACUCACAUAUACGCUUUUUCUCUGUUUGUAAAGGUUCAUAGCACUCCUAUAUUUCAAGUCAUAUAAUUCAUAUCAUAUAAUUUCUAUCAUUUAAUUUAAGGUAUGGUAAUUUCUUGUCCUAAAAUACUUCUAGUAGUUUCUUGUGAAUAAGUUGAUUUCACUAAGUGGAUGAUUAGCUUUUCUGUGCAGGAAAUUUGAUGUCCUUUUCUUUUCUGUCAUCUCCCAGGAAUAUCUACUGAAAACCUUUAGAAUUUCUGACAACAUGCAGCUCAAACUCCUGUUAAUUAUGGCUGACAUAGAAAACAUACUUAUAUGUAUUUUACAUAUAUUUAUUUGUUUAUAUAACAUAUACAUUUUACAUAUGCAUAGAAUACAAAUGUAUAAAAAUUUCCAUUUCCUCUUUGUUUUGGGUUGUGGAAACAGGCAGGUAUGGUCAAGAGAGACACUGGAAGAUGGAAGUUACUUCAGUGUUCCAGUUGCUGGUGUAGCCAGGGCUUCACAGAAUUUGUCACAGGUGGUUUCCUUUGACCCUUGAAACACUUCCAGGACCCAGUUUUUAUCUUAUAGGUGAGGAAACUGAACUCCAAAAGAACUGAAGUGACUCAAUUAAAGUCAAAGGACUAUUCCC